rnacentral:rRNA from 1 species
GACGAACGCUGGCGGCGUGCUUAACACAUGCAAGUCGAACGGAAAGGCCCUGCUUUUGUGGGGUGCUCGAGUGGCGAACGGGUGAGUAACACGUGAGUAACCUGCCCUUGACUUUGGGAUAACUUCAGGAAACUGGGGCUAAUACCGGAUAGGAGCUCCUGCUGCAUGGUGGGGGUUGGAAAUUUUCGGCGGUUGGGGAUGGACUCGCGGCUUAUCAGCUUGUUGGUGGGGUAGUGGCUUACCAAGGCUUUGACGGGUAGCCGGCCUGAGAGGGUGACCGGCCACAUUGGGCCUGAGAGACGGCCCAGACUCCUACGGGAGGCAGCAGUGGGGAAUAUUGCACAAUGGGCGGAAGCCUGAUGCAGCAACGCCGCGUGCGGGAUGACGGCCUUCGGGUUGUAAACCGCUUUCGCCUGUGACGAAGCGUGAGUGACGGUAAUGGGUAAAGAAGCACCGGCUAACUACGUG